GAUGAACGCUGGCGGCGUGCCUAAUACAUGCAAGUCGAGCGGACGGACGAUAAUCUUGCUGCUCUGAUGUUUGCGGCGGGCGUGUGAGUAACGCGUGUAUAACCUACCUAUAAUACUGGUAUCACUUCGGGAAACCGGAUCUAAUAGCGUAUAAGAUUUUGAACCGCAGGGUGCAAUAGUAAGAUACGGUCGUGCGGUCACUUAUAGCUGGAUCCGGGCUGCAUUAGAUAGUUGUUAAGGUAACGGCUUACCAAGGCAACGAUGCAUAGCCGACCGGAGAGGCUGAUAGCCCACCCUGGAACUGAGCCACCGUCAAGGCUCCUACGGUAGGCAGCAGUAGCGAAUCUUAGGCAAUGGGCGAAAGCAUGACGGAGCAAGGGCGAGUGAGUGAUGAAGGUCUUCGGAUCGUAAAACUCUGCUAUUAGGGAAGAACAUCUGUGUACGUAAAUGUGGACAUAGUGACGGUACCUAAUAAGAAAGCACCGGCUAACUACGUG
rnacentral:rRNA from 1 species